rnacentral:rRNA from 1 species
UACGUAGGGGGCUAGCGUUGUCCGGAAUCAUUGGGCGUAAAGCGCGUGUAGGCGGUUCGGUAAGUCCGCUGUGAAAGUCGGGGGCUCAACCCUCGGAUGCCGGUGGAUACUGUCGGACUAGAGUACGGAAGAGGCGAGUGGAAUUCCUGGUGUAGCGGUGAAAUGCGCAGAUAUCAGGAGGAACACCGGUGGCGAAGGCGAAUCUCUGGACAGUUACUGACACUGAGGCACGAAGGCCAGGGGAGCAAACGGG